rnacentral:rRNA from 1 species
AUUGAACGCUGGCGGCAUGCCUUACACAUGCAAGUCGAAAGGUAACGGGUCCUUCGGGAUGACGACGAGUGGCGAACGGGGGAGUAAUAUGUCGGAACGUGUCCAGCAGUAGGGGAUAACUGUACGAAAGAGCAGCUAAUACCGCAGACGACCUGAGGUUGAAAGGGGGGGAUCGCAAGACCUCUAGCCAUUGGAGCGGCCGAUAUCAGAUUAGCUAGUUGGUGGGGUAAAGGCCUACCAAGGCAACGACCUGUAGGUGGUCUGAGAGGACGACCUGCCACACUGGGACUGAGACACGGCCCAGACUCCUACGGGAGGCAGCAGUGGGGAAUUUUGGACAAUGGGCGCAAGCCUGAUCCAGCAAUGCCGCGUGCAGGAAGAAGGCCUUCGGGUUGUAAACUGCUUUUGUCAGGGAAGAAAUCUUCUGGGCUAAUACCCCGGGAGGAUGACGGUACCUGAAGAAUAAGCACCGGCUAACUACGUGCCAGCAGCCGCAGUAA